rnacentral:sRNA from 1 species
AGGAUAAUAGAGGUUCGUGAUUUAUUCACGAGUAUAAUAAUCUGUGUACAAUCAACAAAUUGGUUUGGCCGCUGAUCAGUUGAUUCAAGUACACAAAAAAUUACUUGGUUACGCAUAGCUGGCUGUUAGCCGAGUUCCUUACAUUUUGCUGACAGUUUCUUGUAACAACAGCCCGAGCUUUAAGCUUGGGCUUUUUAUU